rfam:Fukomys damarensis contig73409, whole genome shotgun sequence.
GGAUAUGAGGGUGAUCUGACUGUGACAUCUGUCAGCCCAUUGAUCACCAAGGUUGAUUCAGCUGAUCUGGCUGGCUAGGCGGGUGUCCCCUUCCUCCCUCACCACUCCAUGUGUGUCCCUCCAGAAGCUGCACGCUUGGUCGAAGAGGAUGACCACCCCCAAUAGAAGAGGACCAUUUCCUCGGUCAAAGAUAUACAAGUAGCUGCACUCCCCUGCUAGAACCUCCAAACAAGCUCUCAAGUAUGUAGUUGUCUGUACUUAAGUUAGUAGAAUGGGAGCCAGCUACUUGUGUACUUGAAAGUUUACAGGUUCUCCCAAAAU